rnacentral:rRNA from 1 species
UACGUAGGGACCAAGCGUUGUUCGGAUUUACUGGGCGUAAAGGGCGCGUAGGCGGCAAUUCAAGUCAGCUGUGAAAUCUCCGGGCUUAACUCGGAACGGUCAGCUGAUACUGCUUUGCUAGAGUGCAGAAGGGGCAAUCGGAAUUCUUGGUGUAGCGUGAAAUGCGUAGAUAUCAAGAGGAACACCUGAGGUGAAGACGGGUUGCGUGGGCUGACACUGACGCUGAGGCGCGAAAGCUAGGGUAGCAAACGGG